rnacentral:rRNA from 1 species
UUCGCGGGGCCCGCACAAGCGGAGGAGCAUGUGGUUUAAUUCGAUGAUACGCGAGGAACCUUACCUGGGCUCGAACGUAAGAUGACUGUAGGUGAAAGCUUACAUCUCUUCGGAGCAUUUUACGAGGUGCUGCAUGGUUGUCGUCAGCUCGUGCCGUGAGGUGUCGGGUUAAGUCCCAUAACGAGCGCAACCCCUACCUUUAGUUGCCAUCAGGUUAAGCUGGGGACUCUAAAGGAACUGCCUACGCAAGUAGUGAGGAAGGCGGGGAUGACGUCAAAUCAGCACGGCCCUUACGUCCAGGGCUACACACGUGCUACAAUGGCCGAUACAGAGGGCAGCUACCUGGUGACAGGAUGCAAAUCUCCAAAGUCGGUCUCAGUUCGGAUCGGAGUCUGCAACCCGACUCCGUGAAGUUGGAUUCGCUAGUAAUCGCGCAUCAGCCAUGGCGCGGUGAAUACGUUCCCGGGCCUU